rnacentral:rRNA from 1 species
CCAAUAGCGUAUAUUAAAGUUGUUGCAGUUAAAAAGCUCGUAGUUGAAUUUCGGGAUCAAUAUGCUGGUCGUGCCAUUGGUACGUACUAGUAUUAUUGGUUUCUCCUUUCUGAUGAAUCAUGAUGUCAUUAAUUUGAUGUCAUGAGGAAUCAGGACUGUUACUUUGAAAAAAUUAGAGUGUUUAAAGCAGGCUCGCGCUUGAAUACAUUAGCAUGGCAUAAUGAAAUAGGAUGUUUGAUUCUAUUUUGUUGGUUUCUAGGAUUGACGUAAUGAUUAAUAGGGAUAGUUGGGGGCAUUAGUAUUCAAUUGUCAGAGGUGAAAUUCUUGGAUUUAUUGAAGACUAACUACUGCGAAAGCAUUUGCCAAGGAUGUUUUCAUUAAUCAAGAACGAAAGUUAGGGGAUCGAAGACGAUCAGAUACCGUCGUAGUCUUAACCAUAAACUAUGCCGACUAGGGAUCGGAUGAUGUUAAUUUUUUAAUGACUCAUUCGGCGCCUUACG